AUGUUGUUUAUGAAUCGUGGGUACCUUGGCCGGCUAAUCGGAGACGAAUUUUGGCCAUGUCGGAUUUGACUCAUUUGUGAGAUUGGAUGGUUACAAGAGAAUCCCAACCCCAAGCUUCCAAUUUCACAUUGUUUUCUUCUCACAUUCCUCCAUCAGGAUGGAUGCAGACUCUCCUUUUGAGUAAGUUUUGAUGAACCUAUUGCAACCGUUGAUUUCAUCACACUUCACAUGCCUCUCACUCCUGCUACAUCAAAGAUAUUGAAUGAUGAAAACUUUGAAAAGAUGAAAAAAAGGUGUUAGAAUAGUAAACGUUGCUGGUGGCGGAGUGAUAGAUGAAGAUGCUUUGGUUAGAUCAUUAGAUGCUGGCAUUGUAGCACAGGAUUGGAAAUUGAGAAAAGAUGGA
rnacentral:lncRNA from 1 species